GAACGCUGGCGGCGUGCCUAAUACAUGCAAGUCGAGCGAACAGACGAGGAGCUUGCUCCUCUGACGUUAGCGGCGGACGGGUGAGUAACACGUGGAUAACCUACCUAUAAGACUGGGAUAACUUCGUGAAACCGGAGCUAAUACCGGAUAAUAUAUUGAACCGCAUGGUUCAAUAGUGAAAGACGGUUUUGCUGUCACUUAUAGAUGGAUCCGCGCCGCAUUAGCUAGUUGGUAAGGUAACGGCUUACCAAGGCGACGAUGCGUAGCCGACCUGAGAGGGUGAUCGGCCACACUGGAACUGAGACACGGUCCAGACUCCUACGGGAGGCAGCAGUAGGGAAUCUUCCGCAAUGGGCGAAAGCCUGACGGAGCAACGCCGCGUGAGUGAUGAAGGUCUUCGGAUCGUAAAACUCUGUUAUUAGGGAAGAACAAAUGUGUAAGUAACUAUGCACGUCUUGACGGUACCUAAUCAGAAAGCCACGGCUAACUACGUG
rnacentral:rRNA from 1 species